CUACGGGAGGCACCAGUGGGGAAUAUUGGACAAUGGGCGAAAGCCUGAUCCAGCAAUGCCGCGUGAGUGAAGAAGGCCUUCGGGUUGUAAAACUCUUUCAGUAGGGAAGAUAAUGACGGUACCUACAGAAGAAGCACCGGCUAACUUCGUGCCAGCAGCCGCGGUAAUACGAAGGGUGCUAGCGUUGUUCGGAAUUAUUGGGCGUAAAGAGCGCGUAGGCGGCCUAGUAAGUUGGAAGUGAAAUCCCAGAGCUCAACUCUGGAACUGCUUUCAAAACUGCUAAGCUAGAGUUUGAUAGAGGAUGAUGGAAUUCCUAGUGUAGAGGUGAAAUUCGUAGAUAUUAGGAGGAACACCGGUGGCGAAGGCGAUCAUCUGGGUCAAAACUGACGCUGUGGCGCGAAAGCGUGGGGAGCAAACAGGAUUAGAUACCCCCGUAGUC
rnacentral:rRNA from 1 species